rnacentral:rRNA from 1 species
UGAGGAAUAUUGGUCAAUGGACGAGAGUCUGAACCAGCCAAGUAGCGUGAAGGAUGACUGCCCUAUGGGUUGUAAACUUCUUUUAUACGGGAAUAAAGUGAGACACGUGUGGCUUUUUGUAUGUACCGUAUGAAUAAGGAUCGGCUAACUCCGUGACAGCAGCCGCGGUAAUACGGAGGAUUCGAGCGUUAUCCGGAUUUAUUGGGUUUAAAGGGAGCGUAGUCGGGUUGUUAAGUCAGUUGGGAAAGUUUGCGGCUCAACCGUAAAAUUGCAGUUGAUACUGGCGACCUUGAGUGCAACAGAUGUAGGCGGAAUUCGUGGUGUAGCGGUGAAAUGCUUAGAUAUCACGAAGAACUCCGAUUGCGAAGGCAGCUUACUGGAUUGUAACUGACGCUGAUGCUCGAAAGUGUGGGUAUCAAACA